GUCCCUAAUACCGCUGCCGUGCCCGCCCGGAGGCAGACAGGCACCGGUCCUUGGAGACUCUGCGGGGAUGCGCAAAGAUGUGAGAGUAAAGAACGAGAGGCGUUGUGAUUGGCCGCACUCUUCCUGAAAGCAUCAGGCACGGCGAGUCAUGUUUGCUCCAGCCAGAGCAUCACCGAGGUGGCAUCAAACUUGAAGGAGAAGACUCUGUGUUCUCAGUCUGCACAGCCGAUGCGUUCACAGCGCCGACCGUAAACUUGCAUCAUUUCUCCAAAGAGGCGGUGGUGCUAAAACAGAGAGAGUGAGGGAGAGAGGGAGAGAGUGAGAGAGCGAAAGAGAGAGAGACUUGGCUGAUCAACUAGUGAAGAAGCGGAAGACGCUCUGCACUUCUCCACCUGCUCCUGAGCUUCAUGGUAUUUGGGGAGCCCCGUUAAGAACUUAUUGCAUUAGCAUCUGACUGUGCCACAUCAUGCUGUGGAUGAAGUGGAAGAUGGUGGUGGACUCCCUGCGUGGACGGAGAAGGAGGCUGCCCUGUUCCCUCUGGUUCCUCCUGCUGUUCGCUGCUGGAGGUCUGGUUCUCUUCAUCCACCAGCAGGAUCUGUCAGAGAUGGUCCAGCAACAAGGCCCAGGGAGAAGAAAGGAGCCUGAGAUAGCAGAGCGAGGGAGGGCUCGG